UGUUUUUUAGUGUUUUAAAAGAUGUAGCCUGCCCACUGAGAUAUUAAAGGGCUGCAGGAUUUAACUGUGCGAAGGUAGCAUAAUAAUUAGUUUCUUAAUUAGGGAAUGGGAUGAAUGGUUGAAUAGUGUCUAGUUUUUAGUUAAAAAUUAAGUUGAAAUUGAAUUUUAAGUGAAAAUGCUUAAUUAUUCCUAAAAGACGAUAAGACCCUAUAGAUCUUUAUUUUUAUUUAAUCAUAUUUACAGGUAGGUUUUUGUAAAAAUUAAAGUUUUACUGGGGUGGUAGAAGAAAUUAAUUAACUUCUUAGGUUUUAUAAACUUAUUUUAAGAAUAAAAAGAUACCUUAGGGAUAACAGCGUUAUUAAAUUUAAGAGAUCUUAUCGAUAAUUUAGUUUGCGACCUCGAUGUUGAAUUAAGAAGUUAGUUUUUAGCAGUAUAAAAAUUAAAUGGUCUGUUCGACCAGUUUUAUCUUACA
rnacentral:rRNA from 2 species